UCUGCAGUCUGUAGGUGGCUCGUCUGCAGUCGCAGUCGCAGCUCCAGCUCGAACCUCGCGACGGCCGGUCUUCGCGCGGCCUCGGCUCCGGCCCCGGCCUCAGCCUCCCGGCGCGGCUCGCAGCGGCGGCGGCGGCGGCUCCCGCUCGACGGCCCCGGGCCGCCCCAGCACCCCGGACAGCGGCGCCUCCUGCCGGGACCCGGCCGUCUCCCCCCAUCCCCGCCGGGCUCGCGGCCCGCUGCCCUGAGGGCCCCAGCACUGUGCAAUGGAAAGAAUGUGGACGGGGCUGUCUCACCUGAUCCUCACAACCACCCUGGGAGGUUUAACUGUUAGUAAUAUACAAAAGGUGGAUGAUUUUUGUGGAUUCAUUUCAUAUUCUACUUUGAUGCUGAUUAAGUAAGCCAUCAUGUCAUCUGCAAAUAGGGCCACGUCCAUCAGACUUGAUCAUCAUAUAGUGUUGUUGUUGAAGUAUAUAAUGAUCUCCUGGUUCUGCUCAUUUCAAGAAAACUUUAUUGAGAGUUUCUAAGUGGCAGGCAAUGUGCCGGCAACUCUGAGCACUCAGUGUAUCUCCAGGGUAAAUGGAAGAGAAUCUUGAGAGGCAGAUGGUGACAUUGGAGCUAGGACUGGAAACAAGCCAGGUAAGCUGGGACACUGACAUCGGUGUCCAAGACUAAGCCAGGUUGACAGUCACAGAAAAUGUCAUCUGAGAAUGGCGUAGCUUCGAGAGGAACACCAAGGGAGGUUGGCCCCGGGUGGAGCAGACAGAGCGUGGAGCAAGGUCACUUGGCAGCAGUUGGAAAGGCUGACUUCAGAAAAGCCUGGAGAGACUUACAUGAAUUGAUGCUGAGUGAAGUGAGCAGAACCAGGAGAACAUCGUACACGGUAACAGCAAGACUGUGUGACAAUCAACCUCGGCGGAAUUGGCUCUUCUCAGAAGUGUGGUGAUCCAAGACAAUUCCAGUUUACUUGGGAUGGAAAAGGCCACCUUGGGGACUGAAUUUGGAUCAAAGCAUACUAUGUAAUUGUUUUUUUCUCAUGGUUUCCCUUUUGAUUUUUCUUUCACAACAUGGAAACAUGUUUAGAAUGAUUGUACAUGUAUAACCUAUGUUAGAUUGCUUGCUAUCUUGGAGAGGGAGAAAAGUUUUUGUAACUCAAAAUCUUAAAGAAGUGAAUGUUGAAAACUAUCUUAACAUGUAAUUGGAAAAUAAAAUACUGUUAAGUAAAAAAAAGUGAGAGUGAGACUAGAUGAGAAUUCAGUAUAAAUUCCUGAAACUUAACUAAAAAUAUCAUUGGCAACAGAAAGUAAAAAAACUGGGAGAGCAAAUAGGAGUUUGAGAGAGAGUAAAAGAAAUUGAGAAAUGCAGGGGAAAGAGAAACAAUGGAAUAGAGAGAAAAUAAGAUGGAGGAGUAUAGAAGAGACAAAGUGAAAGACAAGUAGGGAAUGAGCAAAAGAUUAACAGUAGAAGUAGAGAAAGAAUGAGAGAGACAAACAAAAGCGGAGUGGGGGGAGAGAGAGUAAGAAGUAGUGAGAAAAAGAGGGAGAAUGGGAGGACAAGACAGAAAGAGAGAUGGAGAUAGGGAAUGAGAAAAAGAAUGAGAGGAUGACAAAGAGAAAGAAAACUUAGGAAAACAGUGAUUUUUUUUUAAAAAAAAAAGGACAGAAUGUGAGAGAGCCAUAGAAAUAACAGGAGAGGAAAAAGGAGGAGAGACAGAGAAAGCCCAAAACAGAAUGAAAUAGAAAAUGAGAGUGAUACAGAGAGAGUGAGAAAUGGGAAGAAAAUUAGAGGGAAAGAAAAAUAGUAGAAUAGAGAAAAAAGGGAGAUAGAACAAGAGAAAUAAAAAGAAAGACAGACACAGUGAAAGAGAAUAAAAGAUUGGAGAGGGAAAAGGGGAAAGAGUGGGAUAGGAGAGUGUGUGAGAUUGGAUUAUUAGCUUACAAUUUCUCAAUCCUUACAAAUGAGUGAGUCAAAGAGCAAAUUUUAGGAUGGAUAAUUUCAUUAAAGAUAAUGACAACAAUGAGCCAACAUAUGUGAACUGAUCCAGCCAUUCUUGAAAACAAUUGAGAACUUUGCCCAAAGGGCUAUCAAACUGUGCAUACCCUUUGAUCCAGCAGAGUCACUACUAGAUUUGUAUCCCAAAGAAAUCAUAAAAGAGGGGAUGGGACCCCCGUGUGCAAAAACAGCACCUUUUUCUGUGGUGGCAAAGAAAUGGAAAAUGAGGGGAUGCCCAUUGGUUGGAGAAUGGCUGAAUAAGUGAAUAAGAUAUAUGAUUGUAAUGGAAUAUUAUUGUUCUAUAAAAAAUGAUGAUUUCGGGGAGACUUACCUGAACUGAUGCUGAGUGAAGUAAGCUGAACCAGGACAAUAUUGUACACAGCAACAAGAUUAUGUGAUGAUCAACUAUGAUUGAUUUAGCUCUUCUAAGCAAUGCACUGAUCCAAGACAAUUGUGAAUUCAGAGAGAAUUAUGGAGACUGAAUGUAGAUAGAAGCAUAUUAUUUUCAUCUUUUUCCUUUUUCUUUCUCAUGGUUUUCCCCUUUCAUUCUGAUUUUUCUUUCAUAACAUGACUACUAUGUUUAAAAUGAUUAUACAUGUAUAAAUUAUAUCACAUUGCUUGCUGUCCUGGGGAGGAUAAACGGGAAGGAGAAAAAUAUUUGGAAUGAGACAAUGUACCAAAAUUUAUGUGAAACAGCCAAAAUAGUACCAAAUGGAAAAUUUAUGUUUCUAAAUACUUACAUCAAUAAAAUAGAGAAAGAGAUGGAUGAAAUGCAUAUGCAACUAAAAACUAGCAAAAAAUUAAAAAUCCUGAAAAUCAAAGGAAAGAUUAGUAAAAAUUGAAAACAAUAAAAGCACUUAACUAAUAAAACUAAGAGAUGUAUUCAUGGAAAAAAAACCCAACAAAAUAGAGAAAACAUUGGUUAGUUUGAAUUUUAAAAAGAAGAAAAUCAAAUUACCAGUAUCAAAAAUGAAAAGGGUGAAUUCACCACCACUGAAGAUGAAAUUAAAGCAAUUAUUAGGAGCUAUUUUGCCCAAUUAUAUCAACAAAUCUAACCAUCUAAAUGAUUUUUCUCUCUUUCUCAUCUUUUUCAAGAAUGAAAGAGAAAAAUUGCGAGAAAUAAAUGAGAUUGGAAGAAAUAUGAAAGUGAGAAACAAUAAGGGAGUGAGAGAGAAUGAGAAAAAGAAAAAAGGUGUAUUCUUGAAAGAAGAAAGAAUGGGACAGUGAGGCAAAAAUAAGAGAAAAAAGAAUGGGAGAGAAAAGCAAAGUAAAAAAGAGUGGGAGACAGAGCCAGGGAAAGAGAGAAAGAAAAAUGGAGAGUGAGAGAAAAGAAAAAUAGACAAAGCUUUGGAGACAGGGAAGGGAGCAAAAGAGACAGAAAAAGUGAAGAAAACAGGGAGCAUAAAAUAAAGAGAUAAGGGCAGAGUGAGGAAAAGGGAAAGCAUGAGUCAAAGUGUGGCAGAAAGAAAGAAAAAGAGAUGUUGGUGAAAGAGAAAUUCUGUGAGUGGAAUACAGAGAAAAAAGGAGAGAGGAAGAGAAAGAAGCAGAGAGCAUGAGUGGGAAAAACAAUUAGAAAUUCUCUUAUUUUUAUGCCAACAAAACUGAAGAUAAAAUGAAAUGGGUGAAUAUUUAUAAAAGUAUAAAAUGGAGGAAAUAACAAAUAUAAACAAUCUUAUCUCAGAGAAUCUGAGUAAAUCAUAAAUGAAAUCCAAGGAAAAAUUCCUAGUUUAAUUAUGAAUUAUAUCACACAUUUAAAGAACAGUUAAUCAUUCUGCUAUGUAAGCUGUUCACAAAGUAAUAGAGCAAGAUGCCACCUUUACCAAAUUCCUUCUAUGAGAAAAAUAUGGUCCUGACAAACUAAAUUAGGGAUAAAGCUAAUAAAGAAAAAUACACACCAAUAUCACUAAUUAUUUAGUUAACCAAGCAGGUAUAAUAUAUUAAAAAUUAUUCACUAUGAUCAAUUUAGAUUUAUACCAGAAGUAUAAGGUUGGCUCAGAAAUGCCAUAUAUUUGAAAAACUACGCAUUUAUAACACAUCAUAUUAAUAAAUCACAUAAUCAUUUCAGUUCGGAGGGGAAAAAAAGCCUCGGGGAAAAUAUACUUUUAUUUCUGAUAUCCAGUGAGAAUAUUAAUUAUGUUUUUUUAAUAUCUGUAAAAUCAGGAACUAGUUUUUAUUUGUAACAGAAUAACACCAUAGUCUUUCCCAGUAAGAUAAUACAAGAUUCCUCACUGUCUCUGUUAUUAUUUGAAUACCUUUCUAGAAAUGCUCCUAUAGCACUGACAAUGAAAAGUAGCUCAGGGAGAACAAAUCCAUCAAGGGAGAAGAAUAUCCCUUCUAUUGGCAGAUAAUAUGAUGUUUACUUUAAGAAUUAUGGGGUUUCAGAAAAAACACUCAUCAAAAUGACAGCCCCAGUAAAGUUGUAAGAUAUAAAAUGAAACUACAAGUUGUCACCUUUUGUCUACAUCACUUACAAUCCAAGAGGAAGAGAUGGACAGAAAAACUCUACUAAAUCCUCUGUGAUGCAUUAAAAAAUGGAUUUAAGAGACUGAGACACGGUUAAGAGUGAUCUAAACUCUGCCAUAAAGCACUGCUGAGUGUUUUAUGAGUAAAGUACAUUGGAGAGAGAUUCAUUACUCAUGGUUGGAGCGUGUCAAAAUGUUUUAAAAAAUUGUGAUGACAUUUAAAUUAAUUCAUAAAUUGAGUUUUUUUUUCAAGCAAUAUAUUACCAAGGCGUUCCUGUAUAGGACCAUAUAAGUCAUAAUGAAAGUUCAUUAAUUUCAAGGGAAAUAGUGGGAAAAAAUAAUAAUGAAGGGAGCUUAGCAUUAUCAAAUCUCAGAUGAUAGUAUGAAGCAGUAAUCAUCUAUUUGAAUGGUUUAUAUGGUUUAAGAAAAGGACUAGAGAAAUGGGACUUAGGAGUAAAGGAUACAGUCGUUCAGUGUUUUAUAAACCCAAAGAUAUUGAUAUCAUGGAUAUGGUAGAUAGAAGAGUUCUUGGGAAAUCACAUUGGACUAGCAUUUUAUACCACGUAAUCGUCAUAAGCCUGAAAUGGAUGUAUGACAGUAAUAUAAAAGGUCAUAGCACCAAAAAUUAAGAGUAAAGGUUCCAUAUAUACCAAAAUAUUCCUAAUUUUUUUUCCUUAACAGAAAAUUCUCCAAAUAAAAUUAGUCCUUGUCUCUUAGGAAACGGAUAAACAAAAUGUGAUAUGAAUGUAGUACGAUAUUAUUUAAUGUAAAAAAAAUGACUAUAAAAUUCAGAAACUUGGGCAGACUUGUAUGAACCUUGGGAACAUUAAUGAUAGUAAUUAUAAUUUCAAUAGUACUUUAAAGUUUACAGAAUUCUUUGGAAAUGUGAUCUCACUUUAUCCUCACAACUCUAAAAAGUUUGAAUAGUUAUCAAAAUAGAAAAUGCCCAGAUUCACAGAACAAGAAGUAAAGGGCUGAAAUAACAGUUCAUAAAAAGAAAUGAAACAAGCCAUAAAUGACUUCCAAAAAGGGAGAGAGGACCUUAGACUUUAUAAGUAAAUUUGAUUAUUCAGAAAAAAGAGUCCAUGGUGUUGUUAACCUAAACCAAGAAAAGUAAAAACAGAAAGAAAACUAUGGAUCAAUAUCCCUAAUGAACACGGAUGCAAAACAAGGUGGAAAUGAAGGGAAAAGACCUUAUGUAUAAAAAAGUAUUUAUAGCAGUUCUCUUUGUGGUGACAGAACCAACAAAAUGGAAACUAAGGGCGUGAGAAUGAUUUGGAGAAUGGGUAAACAAACAAUGCUAUUUGAAUGUGCUGUUAUUCAGCCAUUUUUCUGUCAUGUCGGAUUCUCUGUGACCCAGUUUGGGGUUUUCUUGGCAAAGAUACUGAUUGGCCAUUUCCUUCUCCAGCUCAUUUUACAGAUGAGGAAAUUGAGGCAAACAGGGUGAAGUGACUUGCCCAGGCUCACACAGUUAGUGUCUGAGGCUGGGUUUGACCUCAGGUUUACUUGACUCCAGUCCUGGCAUUCUAUCCAUUGCACAAUCUAAGGUGCCUUAUAUGAACACAGUGGAAUAUUACUGUGCAAGAAGAGAUGGCAAAGGGGAUACAUAGGGAAGAUGUGUAUGAACUGAUGCAGAGUGAAGUGAGCAAACCAGUAGAACCAUUUAUACAGUAAUAAUAAUUUUGUAAAGACAAAUUUGAAAGUCUUAAGAAAUUUGAUUAUUACAGUGAAUUACGAUACCAGUAGAACUAUGAUGAAACCUUCUGUCCAUUUUAUGACAGAGAGGUGAUACCUCAAAUUUUGUUUUGUUCAGUUAUGUCUUUAUUGCAAGAAUUUUGCUCUUUCCCCCCCAAAUAGGGUGGGAGAGGAGUAAAGUGGGGAAGAGAGAAAAUAGAUUUAUUUAACUGAAAAAGAACUAAACUUGAUUUUUAAAAAAGGAAACAGUAGGGAAGAUGGAUUGGUUAGGGGGAAAACUCAAAGGAAGACAACCAGUUUGGAGAUUGUUGCAGUAGCGUCUGCCAAAAGAAAGGAGGACCUGAAGAAGGGUGGUUAUAUCAGCACUGGAGGGAAAAGUGGGAGAGAUCUUUUCAAGGUUGAGAGCUUGGUAAUUAAUUGGAUAUGGGGCAGGGCUUAUCAGGAAUGGGUAAGAGUUCAGGUUCUGAGCUUACAAACCCGAGUGACUGUGAAGAUGGUGGUAGUGCUAUGAACAGAAAUCAAAGCCUUAUGGGAAAGCACAGGUUUGGGGAAAGAGGGAAGAUGUUCAAUUUGUGGUGCUGGCCGUAAGGAGCUCUGGGGAAAGAUCAUGGAUGGCUAUGCGGAUGUGAGUGUCAGUACUUAAACUGAAAAGAUGAGCAAAGUAGUUCCCCGAGGGAGAGAAUGGAGGAAGACUUAAGAGGAAAGUCCAGGAGAGAACCUUGCUGCAUAUCUCUAGUUUUAUAAUGGAAGGAGAAUAGAAAGUCAGCACAAGAAAGAAAUGGUCAGAGAGGGAGAAGGAACAUGGAGUACGGGGUAUCACCAGGGAAGAGAUGUUGGUGACUGAGGCCAAUAUACACACCGGCUACUUAUGGCCCAAGAAGGUCAAAGACAAAAAAGAAAAGCUCUGUAUAUCUCUGUAUAUAUAAUACUUGUCUUAUAUAUACUCUCUCUAUUCCCAAUAGCACUUCUGGUAGGACAAAAACUAGAAAUGAAGUGGAUGCCUAGUGGUAGGUGACAAAUUGCUGUCUAAAUUGUGGCAGGUAAAUGGGAGAGGUAUGAAUUAUGGCCCCAAAAUAAGAAGCAGGAGGAAUUCCAAGCAACACAAUCCAGGGCACAUUAGUGCGUGCUAGGGAUACAAAAGCAGAUGAGAUAGUCCUUACCUCCAAGUUAUCUGGAUUCUGUUGAGGAGCUGCAUAUAACCUGUACACAUUCACCAUGACAAUCUAGACUCAAAAUCAAUCCAGGGACUAAGGACUGGGGAAAUCAUCAGGGGAGAGAUCUCUUGAAGGAGAAGGCAUUUGACCUGAACCUUAAAGGGAAGGAAAAGUCCCAAUUACUAGAGGUGAUUCCAGACAUGGGGUGACUUUCACUGUACAGAAGAAUGAAGGUGGAAGGGAGAGGGUCCAGUAAAUCAGCUUGGUUGUAGUGGAGAAUGCUGUGGGAGGAGCAAGAUACAGUCAGUUUGUAGUGUUCCUGACAAUUUUGCAAUUUAUCCCAAAGGCAAUAGCAUCCACCAGGGUUUCUGUACGGAGAUUAGUCCUGUCCUUACUAAUCCAGAUCCCUGCCUCAUAGUUGCCUGACCCCUUCUACAUUUAAGGAAUCAGCAUGGGAUAGUUGAAAGCUUGAACUAGGGUGUCUGUGGUGUGCAUGGAGGGAAGGGGUGGUGGUGGGGGUGACAUUGAUGAAAUUUAAAGUAAUUGGAUAUGAGGAGUGAGUGAACUGAGUGAAGGGCCAAGGAAGACUCCUAGCUUGGAAACCCGGAAAUGAGAAAAUGCUGAAGAUGGCUUGUAAAUUGCCAAACAUGGGAAGACUUGUUGGAACUGAGAAGAAGUGAAGAAAGUUGAACAGAAGAACAUACCCGAUGACUACAAUAAUGUCAACAAAAGCCAGCACUAAAGGACAUUAGAACAUGGAGGAGAUCCGGCACCAGAGGAUGGAACCCAGGACAUCUCAAAGCAGAAAUGGAGACUUCAGAAUUUACCAAGACUGGAAAAAUCAUCAAAUAUGGAAACCUGGUUUCUUCAAUCUACAGAAGAGCUCCAAGAUCUGCAGCCAGGGAAUGGACACCAGCAUGAGAACAUAAGUCCCAGAAAACACCUUUUGUAGCUCCGUGGGCCUGUGGUCGCCAUUAUCAUCAUCAUUGUCGACAUUAUUGUUGUCCUCGUCGUCGUCCUCAUCCUCGUCGUCACUGCUCCAUGCUGUCUGGACCAGAGUGAUCCUUCUUUGUAAUCCAAAGUCAAAUCUACAGAGAAAGCAUGGCCCAUGGUCACAAAGGGACAUUGCUGCUGCUGCUCAACACUGCCAGUGCCAUUAGAAUUCUAAAUUACUUGAGAAUGCCUCAUGGAUUUGGGCAAGUUCUCUUUCGUUUUCCAGUCUAUGAACUCCCCAGAGAUUCAAUCCAGUUGUUCUGGGUUUCCAUUUUCCCUAAAGUGAAGCCUUUACAUCUCGGAAAACUUUGACAGAAAGCUAAGAGCAAGACUCAAGAAUAGAACCCAGCAUUCCUAGCUAUUGCAUCCAGUGUUCAAUCAUAUUAACAAUUUCUUGAAAGAAACACUACUAAAUUAUGAUCAUGGCUGGCCAGCUCAGACAUAUUCUUCAAGUGUAAUUGAUAAAGAAUACUCAGGUGAAUUUGUGGAAGUAGAUCACUGCUUCCUCCUAAUCUUCCCUAGUGCUCCUCUUUUGGGGAACUGUUUUAAUUUGUUUCAGGAGUGGAAGUUCUUGCACCCCCUAAAAAACCCCAAGAUGGUGGAACAGAGAGAACAUUCCAGUGGAACUCUACCAACUUGCCUUUCCAAAAAACUUGAAAAUAUCAAAUAAUCAAAUUCUGAAGUGCCAUACAAAGAAAAAGUUUGUCCAGCUGAAAAAAAUGUUUGAGGUGAGGAGAAGUUUGGGUCACUGGCUCAGAAGGCAAAGGGAAGGGCACUUACUAUGGAUCUUGGAGGACGGGAGGCACAGUGAUAGCUGCAGGAAUAGUUGUCACAUUUCUUAAAGUUUUCACUGCCAAGAAACCAAGUAUUAGACAACUGCUAAAAAGGUGAUUAGGGGCAGCUCUGUGUGGGCACGGUAGACAUUACCAGUUUCACACAAAGGGGGAGAGAGGCCAAUGCCAUCACAAAAAACUGGUGGUAACACCUGGAGCUCCAGAGUGAAGACGAUCACUUGUUAUCACAAGUAAACACAUUCCCUGCUACUGCUCCAGGGUGAAGAGGAGCACCUGCCAGCAUGAUGACAAGGAAGAGGAAGUCCCCCCUGCAGCUACUAGGUGAAGAGACCUUGCUAUAACAAAAAAAGCAAUAGUCCCAGCUGCAUCUCAGGGGUGCAUAGAGGCCUUUCCCAUUACAACAAAGCAGAGGUAUCGGCUGCAGUUCCAGUUUGAAGAAGACCACUUUCCCAUCACAAGUAACCAGAAGUCCCAGCUGUGGGUCCAGGGUGAGGAAGAGCACUUGUCAUCACAAUUAAUCAGAAGUCCCUGCUGCUGCUCCAGGGUGAAGAACAACAGUUGCCACCACAAGUUACCAGAAGUCCCUGAUGCUGCUCCAGGGUGAAGAGGAGCACUUGCCAUCACAAGUAACUAGAAUUCCCUGUAACAAGCUCCAGGGUGAAGAGGAGCACUUGCCAUCACAAGCAAGUAGUGGUCCCAGCUGCAGCCAUGGGACGGAGAGAGGGCUUUGGCAUCACAACAAACCAGAGGUCCCAGUUGCAGCUCCAGUUAGAAGAAAAACACUUUGCAUCACAAGUCACCAGAAUUCCCAGCUGCGGGUCCAGGGUGAAGAAAAGAACUUGCCAUCACAAGUAGCCAGAAGUCCCUGCUGCUGCUCCAGGGGGAAGAGGAGAACUUGCCAUCAAAAUGAAGCAGAGGUCCCAGCUGCAGCUCUGGGGUGGAGAGAGGCCUUUGUCAUCACAACCAAGCAGAGGUCCCAGCUGCAGUUUGCAUUUGAAGAACACUUCCCAUCAUCACAAGAAACCAGAAGUCCCUGCUGCUACUCCAGGGUGAAGAAGAACAAUUGCCAUUACAAGUUACUAGAAGUACCUGCUGCAGCUCCAGGGAGAAGAGGAAGACUUGCCAUCACAAGUAACCAGAAGGCCCAGCUGCAGCUACUGGGUGAAGACCAAUUGCCAUCACAAAAAUGGAAAGAACGCAGCUGAAGCUCCAGGGUAGAGAGAGGCCUUUGCCAUCAAACCCAUGUAGAGGUCUCAGUUACAGCUCCAGGAUACAGAGAGGCCUUUGCCAUCACAACCAAGCAGAGGUACCAGCUGCAGAUCCAGGAUGGAGAGAGGCCUUUGCCAUCACAACCUAGCAGAGUUCUAAGCUGCAGCUCCCGUUGGAAGAAGAAAACUUGCCAUAACAAAUAACGGGAAAUCCCAGCUGCAGGUCCAGUGUGACGAAAAGAAAUUGCCAUCACAAGUUACCAAAAGUCCCUGCUGCUGCUCCACAGUGAAGCGGAAAACUGGCCACCACAAGUAACCAGAAGUCCCUGCUGCAGCUCCAGGGUGAAGAGCAACACUUGCCAUCACAAGUUACCAGAAGUCCUUGAUGCUGCUCCAGGGUGAAGAACAGCAGUUGCCAUCACAAGUUACAAGAAGUCCCUGCUGCUGCUCUAGGGUGAAGAUGAACACUUGCCAUCACAAGUUACCAGAAGUCCCUGCUUCUGCUCCACAAUGAAGAGGAACACUUGCCAUCACAAGUUAGCAGAAAUCUUUCCUGCAGCUACUGGUUGAAGAAGACCAAUUGCCCUAAGAAAAAUGCAGAGGACGCAGCUGCAGCUUAGGGAUGCAGAGAGGCCUUUGCCAUCACAACUAAGCAGAUGUGCAAGCUGCAACUCCCGUUUGAAGAGGAACACUUCCUAUCACCAAUAACUGGAAGUCCCAGGGCAAGGUCCAGUGUGAUGAAAAGAACUUGCUAACACAAGUAACCAGAAGUCCCUGCUGCUGCUCCAGGGUGAAGAGGAACACUUGUCAUCACAAGUAACCAGAAGUCACUGCUGUUGUCCAAGGGUGAAGACGAACACUUGCCAACACAAGUUAACAGAAGUCCCUGCUGCGGCUCCAGGGUGAACAGGACCACUUGCCAUCAAAAGUUACCAGAAGUCCCUGCUGCAGCUCCUUGGUGAAGAGGACCACUUGCCAUCACAAGUUACCAGAAGUCCCUGCUGCAGCUACAGGGUGAACAGGACCACUUGCCAUCAAAAGUUACCAGAAGUCCCUCCUGCAGUUCCAGGGUGAAGAGGAACACUUGCCAUCACAAGUUACCAGAAGUCCUUGAUGCUGCUCCAGGGUGAAGAACAACAGUUGCCAUCACAAGUUACAAGAAGUCCCUGCUGCUUAUCCAGAGUGAAGAUGAACACUUGCCAUCACAAGUUACCAGAAGUCCCGGCAGCAGCUGCAGGGUGAAGAGGAUCACUUGCCAUCAAAAGUUACCAGAAAUCUUUCCUGCAGCUACUGGGUGAAGAAGACCAAUUGCCCUAAGAAAAAUGCAGAGGACUCAGCUGCAGCUUAGGGAUGGAGAGAGGCCUUUACCAUCACAACUAAGCAGAUGUGCAAGCUGCAACUCCCGUUUGAAGAAGAACACUUCGUAUCACCAAUAACUGGAAGUCCCAGCGGCAGGUCCAGUGUGAUGAAAAGAACUUGCCACCACAAGUAACCAGAAGUCCCUGCUGCUGCUCCAGGGUGAAGAGGAACACUUGUCAGCACAACUUACCAGAAAUCCUUGCUGUAGCUCCAGGGUGAAGAAGACCACGUGUGACCACAAGUACCCAGAAGUCCCUGCUGCUGUUCUAGGGUGACGAGGAACACUUAUGACGCCAAGUAACCAGAAGUCCCUGCUGCUGCUCCAGGGUGAAAGGGAACACUUGCCAGCACAACUUACCAGAAGUCCCUGCUGCAGCUCCAGGGUAUAGAGGAACACUUGCCAGGUCAACUUACCAGAAGUCCCUGCUGCUGCUCCAGGGUGAAGAGGAACACUUGCCAGCAUAACUUACCAGAAGUCCCUGCUGCUGCUCCAGGGUGAAGAGGAAUACUUGCCAGCACAACUUACCAGAAGUCCCUUCUGCAGUUCCAGGGUGAAGAGGAACACUUGCCAUCACAAGUUACAAGAAGUCCCUGCUGCUUAUCCAGAGUGAAGAUGAACAUUUGCCAUCACAAGUUACCAGAAGUCCCUGCUGCAGCUCCCGGGUGAAGAGGACCACUUGCCAUCAAAAGUUACCAGAAAUCUGUCCUGCAGCUACUGGGAGAAGAAGACCAGUUGCCCUAAGAAAAAUGCAGAGGAUGCAGCUGCAGCUUAGGGUGUAGAGAGGCCUUUGCCAUCACAACAAAGAAACUGUCUCAGCUGCAGCUCCACGAUGGAGAGAGGCCUUUGCAAUCACAACUACACAGAUGUCCCAGCUGCAGCUUAUGGGUGGAGGGAGGCCUUUGCCAUCACAACUAAGCAGAGGUCUAAGCUGCAGCGCCCAUUUGAAGAAUAACACUUCCUAUCACCAACAACUGUAAGUCACAGUUGCAGGUCCAGUGUGACGAAAAGAACUUUCCACCACAAGUAACCAGAAGUCCCUGCUGCUGCUCCACAGUGAAGAGGAAGACUUGCCAUCACAAGUUAACAGAAGUCCCUGCUGCAGCUCCAGGGUGAAGAGUAACACUUGCCAUCACAAGUUAACAGAAGUCCUUGAUGCUGCUCCAGGGUGAAGAGUAACACUUGCCAUCACAAGUUAACAGAAGUCCUUGAUGCUGCUCCAGGGUGAAGAACAACAGUUGCCAUCACAAGUUAUAAGAAGUCCCUGCUGCUGCUCCAGGGUGAAGAUGAACACUUGCCAUCACAAGUUACCAGAAGUCCCUGCUACAGCUCCAGGGUGAAGAGGAACACUUGCCAUCACAAGUUACCAGAAGUCCCUGCAGCAGCUCCAGGGUGAAGAGGACCACUUGCCAUCACAAGUUACCAGAAGUCCCUGCUGCAGCUACAGGGUGAACAGGACCACUUGCCAUCAAAAGUUACCAGAAAUCUUUCCUGUAGCUACUGGGUGAAGAAGACCAAUUUCCCUAAGAAAAAUGCAGAGGACGCAGCUGCAGCUUAGGGGUGGAGAGAGGUCUUUGCUAUCAAAACAAAGUAGAGGUCUCAUUUAUCGCUCCAGGAGAGAAUGAGCCCUUUGCCAUCAGAACUACGCAGAUGGCCCAAGUGUAGCUUAGAAGUGGAGAGACCCCUUGGCCAUCACAACUAAACAGAGGUCCAAGCUGCAGCAACCGUUUGAAGAAGAACACUUCCUAUCACCAAUAACUUGAUGUCCCAGCUGCAGGUCCAUUGUGACAAAAAGAACUUGCCACCACUAGUAACCAGAAGUCCCUACUACAGCUCCAGGGUGAAGAGGAACAGUUGCCAGCACAACUUACCAGAAGUCCCUGCUACAGCUCCAGGGUGAAGAGGAACACUUGCCAGCACAACUUACCAGAAAGUUGUAGCUCCUUGCUGUAGCUCCAGGGUGAAGAAGACCACGUGUGACCACAAGUACCCAGAAGUGCCUGCUGCUGCUCUGGGGUGACAAGGAACACUUAUGACCCCAAGUAACCAGAAGUCCCUGCUGCCGCUACAGGGUGAAGAGAAACACUUGUCAUCACAAGUAACCAGAAAUCCCUGCUGCUGCCCUAGGCUGAAAAGGAACACUUGCCAACACAACUUACCAGAAGUCCCUGCUGCUGCUCCAGGGUGAAGAGGAAUACUUGCCAGCACAACUUACCAGAAGUCCCUGCUGCUGCUCCAGGGUGAAGAGGAACACUUGUGACCCCAAGUAACCAGAAGUCCCUACUGCCGCUGCUGGGUGAAGAGAAAAACUUGUCAUCACAAGUAAGCAGAAGUCCCUGCUGGAGCUCCAGGGUGAAGAGGACCACUUGCCAUGGAAUGUUAGCAGAAAUCGUUCCUGUAACUACUGGGUGAAGAAGACCAAUUGCCCUAAAAAAAAUGCAUAGGACACAGCUGCAGCUUAGGGUUGAGAGAGGCCUUUGCCAUCACAACUACAUAGAAGUGCCAGCUGCAGCUUAUGGGUGGAAGUAGGCCAUUCCCAUCACAACUAAGCGGAGGUCCAAGCUGUAGCUCCCGUUUGAGGAACACUUCCUAUCUCCAAUAACUGGACGUCCCACCUGUAGGUCCAGUGUGACGAAAAGAAUUUGCCACCACAAGUACCCAGAAUCCCUGCUGCUGCUCAAGGGUGAAGAACAACUGUUGCCAUCACAAGUUACCCUGAAGUCCCUGCUGCCGCUCCAGGGUGAAGAGGAACACUAGUCAACACAAGUAGCCAGAAAUCCCUGCUGCUGCUCCAGGGUGAAGAGAAACACUUUUCAUCACAAGUAACCAGCAAUCCCUGCUGCUGCUCCAGGUUGAAGAGGAACACUUGCCAGCACAACUUAACAGAAGUCCCUACUGCCGCUCCAGGGUGAAGAGGAACACUUGCCAUCACAACUUGCCAGAAGUCCCUUCUGCAUCUCCAGGGUGAAGAGGAACACUUCCCAUCACAAGUUAUUAUAAGUCCCUGUUGCAGCUCCAGGGUGAAGAGGAACACUUGCCAUCACAUGUUGUCAGAAGUCCCUUCUUAAGCUCCAGGGUGAAGAGGAAUAAUUGCGAACAUAAGUACCCCUAAUUCCUGCUGCUGCUCGAGGGCGAAGAACAACUGUUGCCAUCAGAUGUUGCCUGAAGUCCCUGCUGCCGCUCCAGGGUGAAGAGGAACACUUCUGACCACAAGUAACCAAAAGUCCCUGCUGCAGCUCUAGGGUGAAGAAGAACAUUUCUGACCACAAGUAACCAAAAGUCCCUGCUGCAGCUCCAGGGUGAAGAGGAACACUUGCCAUCACAAGUAACGAGAAAUCCCUGCUGCUGCUCCAGGGUGAAGAACAACAGUUGCCAUCACAUGUUGCCAGAAGUCCCUGCUGUUGGUCCAGGUUGACGACGAACACUUUUGAUCACAAGUAACCAGAAGUCCCUGCUGUAGUUCCAGGGUGAAGAGGAACACUUGUGAACAGAAGUACCCAGAAGUCCCUGCUGCUGCUCCAGGGUGAAGACGAACAAUUGUCAUCACAAGUAACCAGAAGUCCCUGCUGCGGCUCCAGGGGGAAGAGGACCACGUGCCAUGAAAUGUUACCAGAAAUCUUUCCUGAAGCUACUGGGUGAAGAAGACCAAAUUCCCUAAGAAAAAUGCAGAAGACACAGCUGCAGCUUAGGGGUGGAGAGAGGCCUUUGAUAUCACAACAAAUCAAAGGUCUCAGUUGCAGCUCUGGGUUGGACUGAGGUCUUUGCUAUCACAACCUAGCAGAGGUCUCAUUUACUGCUCCAGGAUAGAACGAGGCCUUUGCCAUCACAACUACGCAGACGUCCCAACUGCAGCUUAGGGGUGGAGAGAGGCCUUUGCCAUCCCAACCAAGUAAAGGUCCAAGCUGCAGCUCCCCUUUGAAGAAGAACACUUCCUAUCACCAAUAACUAGACGUCCCAGCUGCAUGUCCAGUGUGAGAAAAAGAACUUGCCAACACAAGUAACCAGAAAUCCCUGGUGCUGCUCCAGGGUGAAGAACAACAGUUGCCAUCACAACUUGCCGAAGUCCCUGCUGCUGCUCGAGGGUGAAGACAAACACUUGUCAUCACAAGUAACCAGAGUUCCCUGCUGCAGCUCCAGGGUGAAGACGAACAGUUGUCAUCACAAGUACCCAGAAGUCCCUGCUGCUGCUCCAGGGUGACGAACAAUAGUUGCCAUUAAAAGUUGCCUGAAGUCCCUGCAGCUUUUCCAAGGUGAAGAGGAACUCUUGCCAUCACAAGUUACCAGAAGUCCCGGCUGCUGCUCCAAGGUGAAGAGGACCACGUGCCCUGAAAUCUUUUCUGAAACUACUGGGUGAUGAAGAUUAAAUUCCCUAAGAAAAAUGCAGAAGACACAUCUGCAGCUUACGGGUGGAGAGAGGCCUUUGAUAGCACAACAAAUCAGAGGUCGCAGUUGCACCUCUGGGUUGGACAGAGGUCUUUGCUAUCACAACCUAGCAGAGGUCUCAUUUACCGCUCCAGGAUAGAACGAGGCCUUUGCCAUCACAACUACGCAGACUUCCCAACUCCAGCUUAGGGGUGGAGAGAGGUCUUUGCCAUCACAACUAAGCAGAGGUCCAAGCUGCACCUCCUGUUUGAAGAACACUUCCUAUCACCAAUAACUAAAUGUCCCAGCUGCAGGUCCAGUGUGAAGAAAAGAACUUGCCUCCACAAGUAACAAGAAGUCCCUCCUGCUGCUCCAGGGUGAAAAACAAUAUUUGCCAUCACAAGUUGCCAGAAGUCCCUGCUGCUGCUUCAGGGUGAAGAGGAACACUUGUGACCACAAGUACCCAGAAAUCCCUGCUGCUACUCCAUGGUGAAGAACAACAGUUGCCAUCACAAGUAAUCAGAAGUCCCUGCUGUACCUCCAGGGUGAAGAGGAACACUUGUGAUCACAAGUAACCAAAAGUCCCUCCUGCAGCUCCAAGGUGAAGAGGAACAACUUGCCAUCAAAAGUUACCAGAAGGCCCUGCUGUAGCUCCAGGGUGAAGAGGAAAAGUUGUGACCACAAGUACCCAGAGGUCCCUGCUGCUGCUCCAGGGUGAAGAGGAACACUUGUGACCCCAAGUAACCAGAAGUCCCUGCUGCCGCUACAGGGUGAAGAGAAACACUUGUCAUCACAAGUAACCAGAAAUCCCUGCUGCUGCCCUAGGUUGAAAAGGAACACUUGCCAGCACAACUUACCAGAAGUCCCUGCUGCAGCUCCAGGGUAUAGAGGAACAAUUGCCAGGUCAAUUUACCAGAAGUCCCUGCUGCUGCUCUAGGGUGAAGAGGAACACUUGCCAGCACAACUUACCCGAAGUCCCUGCUGCAGCUCCAGCGUAUAGAGGAACACUUGCCAGGUCAACUUACCAGAAGUCCCUGCUGCUGCUCCAGGGUGAAGAGGAACACUUGUGACCCCAAGUAACCAGAAGUCCCUGAAGCCGCUACAGGGUGAAGAGAAACACUUGUCAUCACAAGUAACCAGAAAUCCCUGCUGCUGCUCCAGGUUGAAGAGGACCACUUGCCAUCAAAUGUUAGCAGAAAUCUUUCCUGUAACUACUGGGUGAAGAAGACCAAUUGCCCUAAGAAAAAUGCAUAGGACAGAGCUGAAGCUUAGGGUUGAGAGAGGCCUUUGCCAUCACAACUACAUAGAUGUGCCAGCUGCAGCUUAUGGGUGGAAGGAGGCCAUUCCCAUCACAACUAAGCAGAGGUCCAAGCUGUAGCUCCUGUUUGAAGAACACUUCCUAUCUCCAAUAACUGGACGUCCCACCUGUAGGUCCAGUUUGACGAAAAGAACUUGCCACCACAAGGAACCAGAAGUCCCUGCUGCAUCUCCAGGGUGACGAGGAAUACUUGUGACCACAAGUACCCAGAAUCCCUGCUGCUGCUCAAGGGCAAAGAACAACUGUUGCCAUCACAAGUUACCCUGAAGUCCCUGCUGCCACUCCAGGGUGAAGAGGAACACUAGUCAACACAAGUAGCCAGAAGUCCCUCCUGCUGCUCCAGGGUGAAGAGGAACACUUGCCAUCACAACUUGCCAGAAGUCCCUGCUGCAGCUCCACGGUGAAGAGGAACACUUGCCAUCACAUGUUGUCAGAAGUCCCUUCUUAAGCUCCAGGGUGAAGAGGAAUAAUUGCGACCAUAAAUACCCCUAAUUCCUGCUACUGCUCGAGGGCAAAGAACAACUGUUGCCAUCACAUGUUGCCUGAAGUCCCUGCUGCCGCUCCAAGGUGAAGAGGAACACUUGUGACCACAAGUACGCAGAAGUCCCUGCUGCUGCACCAGGGUGAAGAAAAACAGUUGCCAUUACAAGUUGCCAGAAGUCCCUGCUGCACCUCCAGGGUGAAGAGGAACACUUGUGACCACAAGUAACCAGAAGUCCUUGCUGCAGCUCCAGGGUGAAGAGGAACACUUGCCAUCACAAGUAACGAGAAAUCCCUGCUGCUGCUCCAGGGUGAAGAACAACAGUUGCCAUCACAUGUUGCCAGAAGUCCCUGCUGCUGGUCCAGGGUGACGACAAACACUUUUGAUCACAAGUAACCAGAAGUCCGUGCAUUAGUUCCAGGGUGAAGAGGAACAUUUGUGAACAGAAGUACCCAGAAGUCCCUGUUGCUGCUCCAGGGUGAAGAAGAACACUUGUGACCACAAGUAUCCCAAAGUCUCUGCUGCUGCUCCAGGGUGAAGACGAACAAUUGUCAUCACAAGUAACCAGAAGUCCCUGCUGUAGCUCCAGGGUGAAGAGGAACACUUGUGACCACAAGUACCCAGAAGUCCCUGCUGCUGCUCCAGGGUGAAGAACAACAGUUGCCAAUACAAGUUGCCUGAAGUCCCUGCUGCUGCUCCAAGGUGAAGAGGACCACGUGCCAUGAAAUGUUACCAGAAAUCUUUCCUGAAGCUACUGGAUGAAGAAGACCAAAUUCCCUAAGAAAAAUGCAGAAGACACAGCUGGAGCUUAGAGGUGUAGAGAGUCCUUUGAUAUCACAACAAAUCAAAGGUCUCAGUUGCAGCUCUUGGUUGGACUGAGGUCUUUGCCAUCACAACCUAGCAGAGGUCUCAUUUACUGCUCCAGGACAAAACGAGGCCUUUGCCAUCACAACUACGCAGACGUCCCAACUGCAGCUUAGGGGUGGAGAGAGGCCUUUGCCAUCCCAACCAAGUAAAGGUCGAAGCUGCAGUUACCCCUUUGAAGAAGAACACUUCCUAUCACCAAUAACUAGACGUCCCAGCUGCAUGUCCAGUGUGACAAAAAGAACUUCCCAACACAAGUAACCAGAAAUCCCUGGUGCUGCUCCAGGGUGAAGAACAACAGUUAACAUAACAUAUAACCAGAAGUCCAUGCUGCUACUCCAUGGUGAAGAACAACAGUUGCCAUCACAAGUUGCCAGAAGUCCCUGCUGCUGCUCGAGGGUGAAGACGAACACUUAUCAUCACAAGUAACCAGAAGUCCCUGCUGCAGCUCCAGGGUGAAGUCGAACAGCUGUAAUCACAAGUACCCAGAAGUCCCUGCUGCUGCUCCAGGGUGACGAACAAUAGUUGCCAUUACAAGUUGCCUGAAGUCCUUGUAGCUUUUCCAACGUGAAGAGGAACUCUUGCUAUCAGAAGUUAGCAGAAGUCCCGGUGGUAGCUCCAAGGUGAUGAGGAACACUUGUCAUCACAAGUACCCAGAAGUCCCUGCUGCUGCUCUAGGGUGAAGAAUAACAGUUUCCAUUACAAGUUGACUAAAGUCCCUGCUGCUGUUCCAAGGUGAAGAGGACCAUGUGCCCUGAAAUCUUUUCUAAAUCUACUAGGUGAUGAAGACUAAAUUCCCUAAGAAAAAUGCAGAAGACACAGCUGCAGCUUACGGGUCGAGAGAGGCCUUUGAUAGCACAACAAAUCAGAGGUCGCAGUUGCACCUCUGGGUUGGACAGAGGUCUUUGCUAUCACAACGUAGCAGAGGUCUCAUUUACCGCUCCAGGAUAGAACGAGGCCUUUGCCAUCACAACUAAGCAGAGGUCCAAGCUGCACCUCCCAUUUGAAGAAUACUUCCUAUCACCAAUAACUAAAUGUCCCAGCUGCAGGUCCAGUGUGAAGAAAAGAACUUGCCUCCACAAGUAACCAAAAGUCCCUCCUGCUGCUCCAGGGUGAAAAACAAUAUUUGCCAUCACAAGUUGCCAGAAAUCCCUGGUGCUACUCCAGGGUGAAGAACAAUAGUUAACAUAACAUGUAACCUGAAGUCCCUGCUGCUGCUUCAGGGUGAAGAGGAACACUUGUGACCACAAGUACCCAGAAAUCCCUGUUGCUACUCCAUGGUUAAGAACAACAGUUACCAUCACAAGUUGCCAGAAGUCCCUGCUGUUGCUCCAGGGUGAAGAGGAACACAUGUGAUCACAAGUAACCAAAAGUCCCUCCUGCAGCUCCCAGGUGAAGAGGAACACUUGCCAUCAAAAGUUACCAGAAGUCCCUGCUGCAGCUCCAGGGUGAAGACGAACAUUUGUCAUCACAAGUAAUCAGAAGUCCCUGCUGUAGCUCCAGGGUGAAGAGGAACACUUGUGAGCAAAAGUACGCAGAAGUCCCUGCUGCUGCUGCAGGGUGAAGAGGAACACUUGUGACCACAAGUAACCAGAAUUCCCUGCUGAUGCUCUAGGGUGAAGAGGAAUACUUGUCAUCACAUGUUACCAGAAGUUCCUGCUGCAGGUCCAGGGUAAAGACGAACACUUGUGACCAUAAGUACCCAGAAGUCCCUGCUGCUGCUCCAGGGUGAAGAACAACAGUUUCCAUUACAAGUUCCCUGAAGUCCCUGCUGCUGCUCCAAGGUGAAGAAGACCACCUGCCAUGAAAUGUUACUAGAAAUCUUACCGGAAGCUACUAGGUGAAUAUGACCAAAUUCCCUAAGAAAAAUGCAGAAGACGCAGCUGCAGCUUAGGGGUGGAGAGAGGCCUUUGCCAUCACAACCAAGCAGAGGUCCAAGCUGCAGCUCCUGUUUGAAGAAGAACCCUUCCUAUCACCAAUAACUGGACAUCACAGCUGCAGGUCCAGUGUAAAGAAAAGAACUUGCCUCCACAAGUAUCGAGAAGUCCCUCCUGCUGCUCCAGGGUGAAGAACAACUGUUGCCAUCAAAAGUUACCAGAAGUCCCUGCUGCAGCUCCAGGGUGAAGACGAACAUUUGUCAUCACAAGUAAUCAGAAGUCCCUGCUGUAGCUCCAGGGUGAAGAGGAACACUUGUGAGCAAAAGUACCCAGAAGUCCCUGCUGCUGCUGCAGGGUGAAGAGGAACACUUGUGACCACAAGUACCCAGAAGUCCCUGCUGCUGCUGCAGGGUGAAGAGGAACACUUGUGACCACAAGUAACCAGAAUUCCCUGCUGACGCUCUAGGGUGAAGAGGAAUACUUGUCAUCACAUGUUACCAGAAGUUCCUGCUGCAGGUCCAGGGUAAAGACGAACACUUGUGACCAUAAGUACCCAGAAGUCCCUGCUGUACCUCCAGGGUGAAGAACAACAGUUUCCAUUACAAGUUCCCUGAAGUCCCUGCUGCUGCUCCAAGGUGAAGAAGACCACCUGCCAUGAAAUGUUACUAGAAAUCUUACCGGAAGCUACUAGGUGAAGACGACCAAAUUCCCUAACAAAAAUGCAGAAGACGCAGCUGCAGCUUAGGGGUGGAGAGAGGCCUUUGCCAUCACAACAAAGCAGAGGUCCAAGCUGCAGCCCCUGUUUGAAGAAGAACCCUUCCUAUCACCAAUAACUGGACAUCACAGCUGCAGGUCCAGUGUAAAGAAAAGAACUUGCCUCCACAAGUAUCGAGAAGUCCCUCCUGCUGCUCCAGAGUGAAGAACAACUGUUGCCAUCACAAUUUGCCAGAAGCCCCUGCUACUGCUCCAGGGUGAAGAGGAACACUUGUGACGACAAGUAACCAGAAGUCCCUGCUGACGCUCUAGGUUGAAGAGGGAUACUUGCCAUCACAAGUUACCAGAUGUCCCUGCUGCAGCUCCAGGGUGAAGAGCAACACUUGCCAUCAAAGGUUACCAGAAAUCUUUCCUGUAGCUACUGGGUGAAGAAGACCAAUUACCCCAAGAAAAAUGCAGAGGACGCAGCUGCAGAUUAAGGGUGGAGAGAGGCCUUUUCUAUCAAAACAAAGCAGAGAUCUCAGCUGCAGCUCCAAGAUGGAGAGAGGCGUUUUCCAUCACAACUACAUAGAUGUCCCAGCUGCAGCUUAAGGAUGGAUGUAGGCCUUUGCUAUCACAACUAAGCAGAAGUCCAAGCUGCACCUCCCGUUUGAAGAAAAACACUUCAUAUUCCCCAUAACUAUACGUCCCAGUUGCAUGUCCAGUGUGACAAAAAGAUCUUGCCACCACAAGUAACCAGAAGUCCCUGGUACUGCUCCAGGGUGAAGAACAACAGUUAACAUAACAUGUAAGCAGAAGUCCCUGCUGCUACUCCAGGGUGAAGAACAACAGUUGUCAUCACAAGUAACCAGAAGUCCCUGCUGCUGCUCCAGGGUGAAGAACAACAGUUACCAUUACAAAUUGCCUGAAGUCCCUGCUGCUGCUCCAAGGUGAGGAGGAACACUUGCCAUCACAAGUUACCAGAAGUCCCUGAUGUAGCUCCAGGGUGAAGAGGAACACUUGUGAUCACAAGUUGCCAGAAGUCCCUGCUGUAGCUCCAGGGUGAAGAGGAACACUUGUGAUCACAAGUUACCAGAAGCCCCUGCUGCUGCUCCAGGGUGAAGAGGAACACUUGUGACCACAAGUACCCAGAAGUCCCUGCUGCUACUCCAGGGUGAAGAACAACAGUUGCCAUUACACGUUGCCUGAUGUACCUGCUGCUGUUCCAAGGUGAAGACGAACACUUGCCAUCACAAGUUACCAGAAGUCCCUGCUGUAGAUCCAGGGUGAAGAGGAACACUUGUGAUCACAAGUUACCAGAUGUCCCUGCUGCUGCUCCAGGGUGAAGAGGACCAAGUGCUAUGAAAUGUUACCAGAAAUCUUUCCUGAAGCUAGUGGGUGAAGAAGACCAAUUUCGCUAAGAAAAAUGCAGAAGACACAGCUGCAGCUUAGGGGUGGAGAGAGGCCUUUGAUAUCAUAACAAAUCAGAGGUCUCAGUUGCAGCUCUGGGUUGGACAGAGGUCUUUGCUAUCACACCCUAGCAGAGGUCUCAUAUACCGCUCCAGGAUAGAACGAGGCCUUUGCCAUCACAACUACGCAGACGUCACAACUGCAGCUUAGGGGUGGAGAGAGGCCUUUGCCAUCACAACCAAGCAGAGGUCCAAGCUGCAGCUCCCGUUUGAAGAAGAACACUUACUAUCACCAAUAACUGGACAUCACAGCUGCGGGUCCAGUGUGAAGAAAAGCACUUGCCUCCAAAAGUAACCAGAAGUCCCUCCUGCUGCUCUAGGGUGAAGAACAACAGUUGCCAUCACAAGUUGCCAGAAGUCCCUGCUGCUGCUCCAGGGUGAAGAGGAACACUUGUGAUGUCAAGUAACCAGAAGUCCCUGCUGACGCUCCAGGGUGAAGAGGAAUACUUGCCAUCACAAGUUACCAGAAGUCCCUGCUGCAGCUCCAGGGUGAAGAGCAACACUUGCCAUCACAAGUUACCAGAAGUCCCUGCUGUAGCUCCAGGGUGAAGAGGAACACUUGCGAUCACAAGUUACCAGAAGUCCCUGCUGCUGCUCUAGGGUGAAGAAUAACAGUUGCCAUCACAAUUUGCCAGAAGUCCCUGCGGCUGCUCCAGGGUGAAGAACACUUGUGGCGACAAGUAAACAGAAGUUCCUGCUGACGCUCCAGGGUGAAGAGGAACACUUGUGACCACAAGUACCCAGAAGCCCCUGCUGUAGCUCCAGGGUGAAGAGGAACACUUGUGACCACAAGUACCCAGAAGUCCCUGCUGCUGCUCCAGGGUGAAGAACAAGAUUUGCCAUUACAAGUUGCCUGAUGUACCUGCUGCUGCUCUAAGGGGAAGAGGAACACUUGGCGUCACAAGUUACCAGAAGUCCCUGCUGCUGCUCCAGGGUGAAGAACAACAGUUGCCAUUACAAGUUACCAGAAGUCCCUGCUGUAGCUCCAGGGUGAAGAGGAACACUUGUGAUCACAAGUUACCAGAAGCCCCUGCUGCUGCUCCAGGGUGAAGAGGAACACUUGCCAUCAAAAGUUACCAGAAGUCCCUGCUGUAGCUCCAGGGUGAAGAGGAACACUUGUGAUCACAAGUUACCAGAAGUCCCUGCUGCUGCUCUAGGGUGAAGAACAACAGUUGCCAUUACAAGUUGCCUGAAGUCCCUGCUGCAGCUCCAGGGUGAAGAGGAACACUUGCCAUCACAAGUUACCAGAAGUCCCUGCUGUAGUUCCAGGUUGAAGAGGAACAUCUGUGACCAUAAGUAACCUGAAGUCCCUGGUGCUGCUCCAGGGUGAAGAACAACAGUUGCCAUUACAAGUUGCCUGAAGUCCCUGCUGCUGCUCCAAGGUGAAGAGGAACACUUGCCAUCACAAGUUACCAGAAGUCCCUGCUGCAGCUCCAGGGUGAAGAGCAACACUUGCCAUCACAAGUUACCAGAAGUCCCUGCUGCAGCUCCAGGGUGAAGAGCAACACUUGCCAUCACAAGUUACCAGAAGUCCCUGCUGCAGCUCCAGGGUGAAGAGCAACACUUGCCAUCACAAGUUACCAGAAGUCCCUGCUGCAGCUCCAGCGUGAAGAGCAACACUUGCCAUCACAAGUUACCAGAAGUCCCUGAUGCUGCUCUAGGGUGUAGAAUAACAGUUUCCAUUACAAGUUGACUAAAGUCCCUACUGCUGUUCCAAGGUGAAGAGACCACGUGCCAUGAAAUGUUACCAGAAAUCUUUCCUGAAGCUACUGGGUGAAGAAGACCAAUUUCCCUAAGAAAAAUGCAGAAGACACAGCUGCAGCUUAGGGGUGGAGAGAGGCCUUUGAUAUCACAACAAAUCAGACGUCUCAGUUGCAGCUCUGGGUUGGACAGAGGUCUUUGCUAUCACAACCUAGCAUAGGUCUCAUUUACCGCUCCAGGAUAGAACGAGGCCUUUGCCAACCACAACUACGCAGGCGUCACAACUGCAGCUUAGUGGUGGAGAGCGGCCUUUGCUAUUACAACCAAGCAGAGGUCCAAGCUGCAGCUCCCGCUUGAAGAAGAACACUUCCUAUCACCAAUAAGUGGACUUCACAGCUGCAGCUCCAGUGUGAAGAAAAGGACUUUCCUCCAAAAGUAACCAGAAGUCCCUCCUGCUGCUCUAGGGUGAAGUACAACAGUUGCCAUCACAAGGUGCCAGAAGUCCCUGUUGCUGCUCCAGGGUGAAGAGCAACACUUGCCAUUACAAGUUACCAGAAGUCCCUGUUGCAGCUCCAGGGUGAAGAGCAACACUUGCCAUCACAAUUUGCCAGAAGUCCCUGCUGCAGCUCCAUGGUGAAUACGAACAUUUGCCAUCAAAAGUUACCAGAAAUCUUUCCUGUAGCUACUGGGUGAAGAUGACCAAUUACCCCAAGAAAAAUGCAGAGGACGCAGCUUCAGAUUAGGGGUGGAGACAGGCCUUUUCUAUCAAAACAAAGCAGAGGUCUCAGCUACAGCUCCGGGGUGGAGAGAGGCCUUUGCCAUCAGAAGAAAGCAGAGGUCUCAGCUGUAGUUCUAGGAUGUAGAGACACCUUUGCCAUCACAACCAAGAAGCUGUCUCAGCUGCAGCUCCCAGAUGGAGAGAGGCCUUUGCCAUCACAACUAAGCAGAAGUCCAAGCUGCAGCUCCUGUUUGAAGAAGAACACUUCCUAUCAGCAAUAAUUAGACGUCCCAGCUGCAUGUCCAGUGUGACAAAAAAACUUGUCACCACAAAUAACCAGAAUUUCCUGCUGCAGCUCCAGGGUGAAGACGAACACUUGUCAUCACAAGUAACCAGAAGUCCCUGCUGUAGCUCUAGGGUGAAGAGGAACACUUGUGAUCCUAAGUUACCAGAAGUCCCUGCUGUAGCUCCAGGGUGAAGAGGAACACUUGUGAUCAAAAGUUACCAGAAGUCCCUGCUGCUGCUCCAGGGUGAAGAACAACAGUUUCCAUUACAAGUUGCCUAAAGUCCCUGCUGCUGCUCCAAGGUGAAGAGGACCAAGUGCUAUGAAAUGUUACCAGAAAUCUUUCCUGAAGCUUGUGGGUGAAGAAGACCAAUUUCGCUAAGAAAAAUGCAGAAGACACAGCUGCAACUUAGGGGAGGAGAGAGGCCUUUGAUAUCGCAACAAAUCAGAGGUCUCAGUUGUAGCUCUGGGUUGGACAGAGGUCUUUGCUAUCACAACCUAGCAGAGGUGUCAUAUACCGCUCCAGGAUAGAAUGAGGCCUUUGCCAUCACAACUACGCAGACGUCCCAACUGCAGCUUAGGGGUGGAGAGAGGCCUUUGCCAUCACAACCAAGCAGAGGUCCAAGCUGCAGCUCCCGUUUGAAGAAGAACACUUAAUAUGACCAAUAACUGGACAUCACAGCUGCGGGUCCAGUGUGAAGAAAAGCACUUGCCUCCAAAAGUAACCAGAAGUCCCUCCUGCUGCUCUAGGGUGAAGAACAACAGUUGCCAUCACAAGUUGUCAGAAGUCCCUGCUGCAGCUCCACGGUGAAGAGCAACACUUGCCAUCACAAGUUACCAGAAGUCCCUGCUGUAGCUCCAGGGUGAAGAGGAACACUUGUGAUCACAAGUUACCAGAAGUCCCUGCUGCUGCUCCAGGGUGAAGAACAACAGUUUCCAUUACAAGUUGCCUAAAGUCCCUGCUGCUGCUCCAAGGUGAAGAGGACCACGUGCCAUGAAAUGUUACCAGAAAUCUUUCCUGAAGCUACUGGGUGAAGAAGACCAAUUUCGCUAAGAAAAAUGCAGAAGACACAGCUGCAGCUUAGGGGUGGAGAGAGGCCUUUGAUAUCAUAACAAAUCAGAGGUCUCAGUUGCAGCUCUGGGUUGGACAGAGGUCUUUGCUAUCACAACCUAGCAGAGGUGUCAUAUACCGCUCCAGGAUAGAAUGAGGCCUUUGCCAUCACAACUACGCAGACGUCCCAACUGCAGCUUAGGGGUGGAGAGAGGCCUUUGCCAUCACAACCAUGCAGAGGUCCAAGCUGCAGCUCCCGUUUGAAGAAGAACACUUAAUAUCACCAAUAACUGGACAUCACAGCUGCGGGUCCAGUGUGAAGAAAAGCACUUGCCUCCAAAAGUAACCAGAAGUCCCUCCUGCUGCUCUAGGGUGAAGAACAACAGUUGCCAUCACAAGUUGCCAGAAGUCCCUGCUGCUGCUCCAGGGUGAAGAGGAACACUUGUGAUGACAAGUAACCAGAAGUCCCUGCUGACGCUCCAGGGUGAAGAGGAAUACUUGCCAUCACAAGUUACCAGAAGUCCCUGCUGCAGCUCCAGGGUGAAGAGCAACACUUGCCAUCACAAGUUAACAGAAGUCCCUGCUGCAGCUCCAGGGUGAAGAGCAACACUUGCCAUCACAAGUUACCAGAAGUCCCUGCUGCUGCUCUAGGGUGAAGAAUAACAGUUUCCAUUACAAGUUGCCUAAAGUCCCUGCUGCUGCUCCAAGGUGAAGAGGACCACGUGCCAUGAAAUGUUUCUAGAAAUCUUUCCUGAAGCUACUGGGUGAAGAAGACCAAUUUCCCUAAGAAAAAUGCAGAAGACACAGCUGCAGCUUAGUGGUGGAGAGAGGCCUUUGCCAGUACAACCAAACAGAGGUCCAAGCUGCAGCUCCCGUUUGAAGAAGAACACUUCCUAUCACCAAUAAGUGGACAUCACAGCUGCAGUUCCAGUGUGAAGAAAAGCACUUGCCUCCAAAAGUAACCAGAAGUCCCUCCUGCUGCUCCAGGGUGAAGAACAACAGUUGCCAUCACAAGUUGGCAGAAGUCCUUGCUGCUGCUCCAGGGUGAAGAGGAACACUUGUGAUGACAAGUAACCAGAAGUCCCUGCUGACGCUCCAGGGUGAAGAGGAAUACUUGCCAUCACAAGUUACCAGAAGUCCCUGCUGUAGCUCCAGGGUGAAGAGGAACACUUGUGAUCACAAGUUACCAGAAGUCCCUGCUGCUGCUCCAGGGUGAAGAACAACAGUUUACAUUAUAAGUUGCCUAAAGUCCCUGCUGCUGCACCAAGGUGAAGAGGACCACGUGCCAUGAAAUGUUACUAGAAAUCUUUCCUGAAGCUAAUGGGUGAAGAAGACCAAUUUCGCUAAGAAAAAUGCAGAAGACACAGCUGCAGCUUAGGGGUGGAGAGAGGCCUUUGAUAUCAUAACAAAUCAGAGGUCUCAGUUGCAGCUCUGGGUUGGUCAGAGGUCUUUGCUAUCACAACCUAGCAGAGGUGCCAUAUACCGCUCCAGGAUAGAAUGAGGCCUUUGCCAUCACAACCAAGCUGAGGUCCAAGCUGCAGCUCCCGUUUGAAGAAGAACACUUAAUAUCACCAAUACCUGGACAUCACAGCUGCGGGUCCAGUGCGAAGAAAAGCACUUGCCUCCAAAAGUAACCAGAAGUCCCUCCUGCUGCUCUAGGGUGAAGAACAACAGUUGCCAUUACAAGUUGCCAGAAGUCACUGCUGCUGCUCCAGGGUGAAGAGGAACACUUGUGAUGACAAGUAACCAGAAGUCCCUGCUGACGCUCCAGGGUGAAGAGGAACACUUGCCAUCACAAGUUACCAGAAGUCCCUGCUGCAGUUCCAGGGUGAAGAGCAACACUUGCCAUCAAUAGUUACCAGAAGUCCCUGCUGUAGCUCCAGGGUGAAGAGGAACACAUGUGAUCACAAGUUACCAGAAGUCCCUGCUGCUGCUCUAGGGUGAAGAAUAACAGUUUCCAUUACAAGUUGACUAAAGUCCCUGCUGCUGUUCCAAGGUGAAGAGGACCACGUGCCAUGAAAUGUUUCUAGAAAUCUUUCCUGAAGCUACUGGGUGAAGAAGACCAAUUUCCCUAAGAAAAAUGCAGAAGACACAGCUGCAGCUUAGUGGUGGAGAGAGGCCUUUGCCAGUACAACCAAGCAGAGGCCCAAGCUGCAGCUCCCGUUUGAAGAAGAACACUUCCUAUCACCAAUACGUGGACAUCACAGCUGCAGUUCCAGUGUGAAGAAAAGCACGUGCCUCCAAAAGUAACCAGAAGUCCCUCCUGCUGCUCUAGGGUGAAGAACAACAGUUGCCAUCACAAGUUCCCAGAAGUCCCUGCUGCAGCUCCAGGGUGAAGAGCAACACUUGCCAUCACAAGUUACCGGAAGUCCCUGCUGUAGCUCCAGGGUGAAGAGGAACACUUGUGAUCACAAGUUACCAGAAGUCCCUGCUGCUACUCCAGGGUUAAGAACAAAAGUUGCCAUCACAAGUUGCCAGAAGUCCCUGCUGCUGCUCCAGGGUGAAGAACAACAGUUCCCAUGACAAGUUGCCAGAAGUCCCUGCUGUUGCUCCAGGGUGAAGAGGAACACUUGUGACCACAAGCAACUAGAAGUCCCUGCUGACGCUCCAGUGUGAAGAGGAAUACUUGCUAUCACAAGAUACCAGAAGUUCCUGCUGCAGCUCCAGGGUGAAGAGGAACACUUGUCAUCAAAAGUAUCCAGAAGUCCCUGCUGUAGCUCCAGGGUGAAGAGGAACACUUGUUAUCACAAGUACCCAGAAGUCCCUGCUGCCGCUCCAGGUUGAAGAGCAAGACUUGUCAUCCUAAGUUGCCAGAAGUCCCUGCUGUAGCUCCAGGGUGAAUAGGACCAUUUGCCAUCAAAAGUUACCAGAAAUCUUUCCUGUAGCUACCGGGUGAUGAAGACCAAUUACCCCAAGAAAAAUGCAGUGGACCCAGCUGCAGAUUAGGGGGGGAGAGAGGCCUUUUCUAUCAAAACAAAGCAGAGGUCUCAGCUACAGCUCAGUGGUGGAGAGAGGCCUUUGCUAUCAGAAGAAAGCAGAGGUCUCAGCUGCAGUUCCAGGAUGCAGAGACAAAUUUUCCAUCACAACCAAGCAGCUGUCUCAGCUGCAGCUCCAAGAUGGAGAGAGGCCUUUGCCAUCACAACCAAGCAGAGGUCCAAGCUGCAGCUCCCAUUUGAAGAAGAACACUUACUAUCACCAAUAACUGGACAUCACAGCUGCAGGUCCAGUGUGAAGAAAAGCACUUGCCUCCAAAAGUAACCAGAAGUCCCUCCUGCUGCUCUAGGGUGAAGAAUAACAGUUGCCAUCACAAGUUGCCAGAAGUCCCUGCUGCUGCUCCAGGGUGAAGAGGAACACUUGUGAUGACAAGUAACCAGAAGUCCCUGCUGACGCUCCAGGGUGAAGAGGAAUACUUGCCAUCACAAGUUACCAGAAGUCCCUGCUGCAGCUCCAGGGUGAAGAGCAACACUUGCCAUCACAAGUUACCAGAAGUCCCUGCUGUACCUCCAGGGUGAAGAACAACAGUUUACAUUACAAGUUGCCUAAAGUCCCUGCUUCUGCACCAAGGUGAAGAGGACCACGUGCCAUGAAAUGUUACCAGAAAUCUUUCCUGAACAUAAUGGGUGAAGAGGACCACGUGCCAUGAAAUGUUACCAGAAAUCUUUCCUGAAGCUAAUGGGUGAAGAAGACCAAUUUCCCUAAGAAAAAUGCAGAAGACACAGCUGCAGCUUAGGGGUGGAGAGAGGCCUUUGAUAUCAUAACAAAUCAGAGGUCUCAGUUGCAUCUCUGGGUUGGACAGAGGUCUUUGCUAUCACAACCUAGCAGAGGUGUCAUAUACCGCUCCAGGAUAGAAUGAGGCCUUUGCCAUCACAACUACGCAGACGUCCCAACUGCAGCUUAGGGGUGGAGAGAGGCCUUUGCCAUCACAACCAAGCAGAGGUCCAAGCUGCAGCUCCCGUUUGAAGAAGAACACUUCCUAUCACCAAUAAGUGGACCUCACAGCUGCAGGUCCAGUGUGAAAAAAAGCACUUGCCUCCAAAAGUAACCAGAAGUCCCUUCUGCUGCUCUAGGGUGAAGAACAACAGUUGCCAUCACAAGUUGCAAGAAGUCCCUGCUGCUGCUCCAGGGUGAAGGGGAAAACUUUUGACCACAAAUACCCAGAAGUCCCUGCUGCUGCUCCAGGGUGAAGAGGAACACUUGCCAUCACAAGUUACCAGGAGUCCCUGCUGCAUCUCCAGGGUGAAGAGGAACAGUUGCCAUCACAAGUUACCAGAAGUCCCUGCUGCUACUCCAGGGUGAAGAACAACAGUUGCCCUCACAAUUUGCCAGAAGUCCCUGCUGCCGCUCCAGGGUGAAGAGGAACACUUGUGACCACAAGGACCCAGAAGUCCCUGCUGCUGCUCCUAGGUGAAGAGCAACACUUGCCAUCACAAGUUACCAGAAGUCCCUGCUGCUGCUCCAGGGUGAAGAGGAACACUUGCCAUCACAAGUUACCAGAAGUCCCUGCUGCUGCUCCAGGGUGAAGAACAAUAGUUGCCAUUACAAGUUGCCAGAAGUCCCUGCUGCUGCUCCAAGGUGAAGAGGAACACUUGCCAUCACAAGUUACCAGAAGUCCCUGCUGCUGCUCCAGGGUGAAGAACAAUAGUUGCCAUUACAAGGUGCCAGAAGUCCCUGCUGACGCUCCAGUGUGAAGAGGAAUACUUGCCAUCACAAGAUACCAGCAGUUCCUGCUGCAGCUCCAGGGUGAAGACGAACACUUGUCAUCACAAGUAACCAGAAGUCCCUGCUGUAGCUCCAGGGUGAAGAGGAACACUUGUGAUCCCAAGUUACCAGAAGUCCCUGCUGCAGCUCCUGGCUGAAGAGGUACACAUUUCACCACAAGUAACCAGAAGUCCCUGUAGCAGCUCCAGGGUGAAGACGAACACUUGCCAUCACAAGUAAGCAGAAGUCCCUCCUGCAGCUCCAGGGUGAAGAACAACAGUUGCCAUCACAAAUUACUUGAAGUUCCUGCUGCAGGUCCAGGGUGAAGAGGAACACUUGCCAUCACACUUUACUCGAAGUCCCGGCCAUUGCUCCAGGGUGAAGAGGAAAACUUGCCAUCACAAGUAACCAGAAUUUCCUGAUGCCACUCGAGGGUGAAGAGGUGCCAUCAAAAAUUACGAGAAGUCCCUGCUGCUGUUCCAGGGGUAAAUAAGAGCAGUCCCAUCACACGUAACCAGAAUUCCCUGCUAUAGUGACAGGGUGAAGAGGAACACUUGCCAUCACACUUUACUCGACGUCCCGGCUAUUGCUCCAGGGUGAAGAGGAAAACUUGCCAUCACAAGUAACCAGAAUUUUCUGAUGCCACUCGAGGGUGAAGAGGUGCAGUUGCCAUCAAAAGUUACGAGAAGUCCCUGCUGCUGUUCCAGGGUGAUAUUCAUCUGGUAAACAUGGAAAGAAGCUGCUGUCCAAGUAAUUGAUGGUUUGAACCUGCUGUACCAAAGUUUUUUUCUAUGGAUCUCAACUUCGCCUUUGGAGUUCACUUUGAACUGCUUUUGAUUCAAUUCAUACGGACACCAGUUGUCAUUUUCACAUUGUCCUUCUCUGAUGUUUGAAAAGAUUGAAGGCAAAAGGAGAAGAGGAUGGCAGGAGGUGACAAAGAUGAGAGAGUGUCAUGGAAGGAGCAAACGUGAACUUGGACAGACUUUGUAAGAUAGCAGACAGAAGGGCCUGGUAUGCUAAGGUCUCUGGGGUCACAAAUCUUCAACGUUCAAAAUACCGGAGCCCAUAAAGUGAAUCAGAAGCAGGACAAACAGACAUCGGAUAACAAGACAGGGAUACACGAAGGAAGUGGGACUCAGAUGAGGACGUAUACAAUGGACGGGAACAAAGAAGACCCAAAGACAAGGAAUAUCCCAGAACAAUGAGAAUCCAUGACAUCUGCCCACCACAAUCUGUCCUGCCAUUCUCAAGACCAUGUGGCUUUCCUUCCCCUGCUUUGCUACCACAAGGAUGGAUACAGAACUUCCCACAACAAACACUGACAUCAUAUGGAGGAACCCGGUUUAUCUUCUUCUACGAUGGCAGAGUCAACUCUACAAAUGUACAUAGAAUAUAAGAGGGCCAAAAAGGAAUGGAAGGAAAGGAAAGGAAAGAGGAAAAAAAGGGAAGAGGAGGAAAAGGAAAUAAGCAUUUAUUAAGAACCUACUAUGUGUCAGGCACUGUGAUAAGCACUUUACUAAUAUUAUCUUAUUAAGUGUGAGAUCUGGACCCUCUGCCCCUUAAUCAUGUGCCACCACUUUGGAAAAGAUCAGAAAAGCUGCAAAAAAUUGAGGGGAGCCCAAGAAAAUGGUGUCUCCCCUGAAGUCAAAAGGAGACCCUGAGGGUGGGACCAUGUCAGAAGAUGAAAAAGAAACCAGAGCAAGAGAGCUUACAGUCCCUCAGAAGAAUAGGAAAAGACCGUGGCUACCCUAGCAAAGGUCCCAGCGGCCACAAAAGCCACCGCUCCUGCAACAAAGUGCCUGGGAUAUUUUCUAAGAAGGCCUCCGGCAAGAAAGGGCCACCCCGGCCAAAGCUGAUGUCAUCCUAACAGAAGCGGGAGCCCCCCCCCCCGAGCCACCCACCCAUGAGCAAAGGGGCCCCCAGGAAGUUAAGAAAGAAGAUGGUGACUCUGAAGAAGACAGUGAAGAUGAGAAGAGAGAACCUGGGCCACCCAGAGCUACAAAAGUGGGAGCAGCUCUAGCCAAAUACACUUAGAUGGUGGUAAUGGAGGAGGAAGAAGAAGAAAUGAAGGAGGAGGAGGAGGGUGGGGAAGAAGAAACAAAGGAAGAAGAAAUGGCGGCGGUGGAGGAGGAGGAGGGUGGGGAAGAAGAAACGAAGGAA
rnacentral:lncRNA from 1 species